GACGAACGCUGGCGGCGUGCUUAACACAUGCAAGUCGAACGGGCCUGUCUUCUUUUUUGGGGGGUGGGUUGAGUGGCGAACGGGUGAGUAUCACGUGAGUAACCUGCCCUUCGGUCCUGGAUAACCGCUUGAAAGGGCGGCUAAUACGGGGUGGUCCGGUUGGUCCGCAUGGGCUGGUCGGGAUAGAUUCACUGUUUUUGGUGUUUCGGCGGGGGAUGGGCUCGCGGCCUAUCAGCUUGUUGGUGGGGUGAUGGCCUACCAAGGCGGUGACGGGUAGCCGGCCUGAGAGGGUGGGCGGCCACACGGGGACUGAGAUACGGCCCAGACUCCUGCGGGAGGCAGCAGUGGGGGGUAUUGCACAAUGGGCGGAAGCCUGAUGCAGCGACGUCGCGUGAGGGAUGGAGGCCUUCGGGUUGUGAACCUCUGUUUCCGGUGGUGAAGGCCCUGUCCGUGUGGUGGGGUUGACGGUAGCCGGGGAUGAAGCGCCGGCUAACUACGUG
rnacentral:rRNA from 1 species